rnacentral:rRNA from 1 species
UACGUAGGGUGCGAGCGUUUGUCCGGAAUUAUUGGGCGUAAAGAGCUCGUAGGCGGUUUGUCGCGUCUGCUGUGAAAACCCGAGGCUCAACCUCGGGCCUGCAGUGGGUACGGGCAGACUAGAGUGCGGUAGGGGAGAUUGGAAUUCCUGGUGUAGCGGUGGAAUGCGCAGAUAUCAGGAGGAACACCGAUGGCGAAGGCAGGUCUCUGGGCCACUACUGACGCUGAGAAGCGAAAGCAUGGGGAGCAAACAGG